rnacentral:misc_RNA from 1 species
UAUGAAUUUAAAAAAGGCUUUAUGAAGAAAGCACUUUAAGCUUUUCCAGCAAUUUAAGAUGAUACCGGGGAAGGUUUUCCGGUUUAUCCCGGAGGGCUUGUAGCUCAGUUGGUUAGAGCGCGCGCUUGAUAAGCGUGAGGUCGGAGGUUCAAGUCCUCCCAGGCCCACCAAUUUAUGCUCGUUUUUUGCUUAUCCAAGGGUAUGAAGCUUAAGCGUAUUAAAGCCUCUUUAAUCUUUGUUUGUUUUAAAGAUUUAAUUGUAUUACCCAAGGAUUGUCUGGUAAGUUUAUCCUAUUAAGUUCAUCGGAGAGGAUUUUAAAAUCCCUUUAAAGGUAUAGAAGAAUUUAAAUGAUGCCAAUCAAAAGAGUCCAAGUCAUUCAAGUUGAUGAAUAUUCUUGAGGCUGAUUUGAGAAAGCAUUAUUUAGGGGCCGUAGCUCAGCUGGGAGAGCACCUGCUUUGCAAGCAGGGGGUCGUCGGUUCA